rnacentral:rRNA from 1 species
UACGAAGGGUGCAAGCGUUACUCGGAAUUACUGGGCGUAAAGCGCACGUAGGCGGCCUGUUAAGUCGGAUGUGAAAUCCCUCGGCUCAACCGAGGACGUGCAUUCGAAACUGGCAGCUCGAGUAUGGAAGAGGGUCGCGGAAUUCCCGGUGUAGAGGUGAAAUUCGUAGAUAUCGGGAGGAACACCAGUGGCGAAGGCGGCGACCUGGGCCAAUACUGACGCUGAGGUGCGAAAGCGUGGGGAGCAAACAGGAUUGAGAU